AAAGGUGCAUGAAUGGUGUUUGGUUUGUUACCGGGUGGUUGGCUCUUUGCUUGCGCACACCUUCCACCUGGCAUACCUCUUCAGUCUUGGGUCAAUGCCUGUAUCGCAUUUAACGCACUGGGGUUUCUGUGUGUUGCAUGCCUAAUUGAUGGUAUCGUUUUGACGAAUUAAUGUCUAUUUUCCUCUGGUGUCGCCACAUACCAAGUGAGAUGAACCUUUAAGAAGAGUUUUGUGAUCCACUCUUUUGAUGGCACACGCCUUGAUUUUGUGGCUCAUUAAGUGUUUGCUUGAUCUCAUAGAUAUGGAACCUUGUGUGGGCAUCAGAUCUUUUAUUAACCCUCCUUGUUUUGCCCUUGUUAAGCUUUUCGAAAACGAUUUCCCAAGCAGGCGUUUAACACGUGGGGGUGGCCACAUCAAGACUAUGAAUGCAACCUGGUUGAUCUGGGCAGUAGUCUUAUCCUGCCAUAGUCAUAU
rnacentral:misc_RNA from 1 species